GGCAGUGUAGCAUAGUGGUUAAGGGGCAGGACUUGCAACCCAAAAGUUGCAGGUUCGAUUCCCCACUGGGG